AAAAAAAAAACUCUAUAAUGCUAAAGAGGGAACUGGGAAAAAACCAACAGCAAUUCCUCGUUGAUUUCAGUUUCUAUUGCACUUCUAACAAAACAUUCCACUUGAAAAACAAGGAAAAUUAAAGCUCAAUUAGGCAAAAAGGAGUUCCAUUAAUUUGUAUGCUGCUACUUAACAAGGAACGAAAACAAAAGCCUCGCGUCUUUCUGCAAUUCUAUAUAACAAUCUCAUGUUACGAUGGGGAACGUUUUGCAACCCAAGAAAAGAAUUCGAUUCUAUAACCUAGCCAAGAAUUUCCUUGAUCUUCGUCUUUUGGUCUUUUGUUAGUGAGUUGGGAAAAAGAACCUCAAAUGUGACAUAAAGAUCACCUUUCUUUGUACUAGAAUGCAGUGGCAUCCCUUCACCUUUGAACUUCCUUACUGCCUUGGGCUUAGUGAUUCCCUUUGUGCUGAUGUCCACUAAAUGUUCAUCGAGGUGUUUAAGGGUCUUCUCAAAACCAACAAGUGCUUGAACCAGUGUGAUGGUCACAGUUGUGUGCAAGUCACUGCCUUCCCUUCUGAAGUGAUCAUGGGGUUCUGCACGAAUACGGAACCUCAAAUCUCCAGGCUCCCCAUCUAUUAUUGGUUCACCGUCUUCGUAGAAAACCACCUCUUGUCCAUCUUGCAUGCCUUUCUCAAU
rnacentral:misc_RNA from 1 species